GUACAGGGGGCGGCACCUUCGCGGGUGUCGGGCCGUGAUGCCUUGACGAGUAGGAGGGUCGCGGCGAUGUGCGCAGAAGGGUCUGGGCGUGAGCCUGCCUGGAGCCGUCGUCGGCGCAGAUCUUGGUGGUAGUAGCAAAUACUCCAGCGAGGACCUGGAGGACUGACGUGGAGAAGGGUUUCUUGUGAACAGCUGUUGCACAAGAGUCAGUCGAUCCUAAGCCCUAGGAGAAAUCCUAUGUCGAUGGGGAGCCGUUUGAACGAAAACGGACGCCGAGCUCCUGUACUGUGUGAGCGGGAGCGAGUGCGUCCAACUUGAACGGAAGGCGACCCACGGGGCGAAAGGGAAUCCGGUUCCUAUUCCGGAACCCGGCUGCGGAACCGUUCCUAAGCGGGCCCUCAUCCGAGAGCUCGACGGGGCAACCCGAAGAGACCCGGAGACGCCGGCGGGAGGUCCGGAGAGAGUUUUCUUUUCUCUAUAAGCGUUCGAGUUCCCUGGAAGCCUAUAGCAGGGAGAUAGGGUUUGGAACGCGAAGAGCACCGCAGUUGCGGCGGUGUCCGGAUCUUCCCCUCGGACCUUGAAAAUCCGGGAGAGGGCUACGCGGAAUGUCCGCGCCGGAU
rnacentral:rRNA from 1 species